CCUACGGGAGGCAGCAGUAGGGAAUCUUCCACAAUGGGCGAAAGCCUGAUGGAGCAACGCCGCGUGGGUGAAGAAGGUCUUCGGAUCGUAAAACCCUGUUGUUAGAGAAGAAAGUGCGUGAGAGUAACUGUUCACGUUUCGACGGUAUCUAACCAGAAAGCCACGGCUAACUACGUGCCAGCAGCCGCGGUAAUACGUAGGUGGCAAGUGUUAUCCGGAUUUAUUGGGCGUAAAGGGAACGCAGGCGGUCUUUUAAGUCUGAUGUGAAAGCCUUCGGCUUAACCGGAGUAGUGCAUUGGAUACUGGGAGACUUGAGUGCAGAAGAGGAAAGUGGAACUCCAUGUGUAGCGGUGAAAUGCGUAGAUAUAUGGAAGAACACCAGUGGCGAAAGCAGCUCACUGGUCUGUAACUGACGCUGAGGUUCGAAAGCGUGGGUAGCAAACAGGAUUAGAUACCCCUGUAGUC
rnacentral:rRNA from 1 species